UAAUACGAAGGGAGCUAGCGUUGUUCGGAAUUACUGGGCGUAAAGGGUGUGUAGGUGGUUUCUUAAGUGAGAUGUGAAAGCCCCGGGCUUAACCUGGGAAUGGCAUUUCAUACUGAGAGACUAAGUGUGUAAGAGGGGAAAGCGGAAUGGCGAGUGGAGCAGUGAAAUGCGUUGAUAUUCGUUGGAACACCAGAGGCGAAGGCGGCUUUCUAGCUUAUCACAGACACUAAGGCACUAAAGCGUGGGGAGCAAACAGG
rnacentral:rRNA from 1 species